AGUGGGAUAGCUGGGUCAAAUGGUGGUUCCAAUCCAAGUUUUCUAAGGAAUCUCCUUACUUUUUUCAAGACUGGUUACACCAAUUUGUAGUCCCACCACCAAU
rnacentral:pre_miRNA from 1 species